CAAGACAUCGAGGUCAAGAUGGAAGUUGAAUUGUAGAUGUGGGAUAGCUCAUCAGCUUGUGUUGUUACACUUCCAAUGUUUGGUUGGAACACAACUCAGGUAAUGACACCAGCUGCAGUGCUCGUUUCCAUUCUCUCCUCUGAACAGCAUCACCAAUCCCACAGUAUACCUGCAAUUACCAAAAGAAUUUGAACUGUUAGUUCUGUACAAGAAAUCACAUUUAUGGUAAUGUGAAUGCUACAACAUGCGAGACACUUGACUAUAGCAUGGUGGUACAUCCGUGGAUCUAUCCUGGAUUAGAGGUCUGACAACACUGUUGUAAGCCAUCUAAUUCACCAACCAGGACUCAUGCAAAUAAGGCCCAGAUAUGUCCAUUCAAGGUUCAAGUCAUUAAAGCACUGCGACAAGCUUACCAAACAAUCACCAAGGCAAGCGCAAGCACACAAAGAACCACUUGAUAAGCCUUGUACUUAGAUUUGACACGAGCACCAGCUGGUAGAUUCCGACUCUCCAUCCAUCCAAACUGGG
rnacentral:lncRNA from 1 species